AUUGAACGCUGGCGGCAGGCCUAACACAUGCAAGUCGAGCGGAUGAAGGGAGCUUGCUCCUGGAUUCAGCGGCGGACGGGUGAGUAAUGCCUAGGAAUCUGCCUGGUAGUGGGGGAUAACGUCCGGAAACGGGCGCUAAUACCGCAUACGUCCUGAGGGAGAAAGUGGGGGAUCUUCGGACCUCACGCUAUCAGAUGAGCCUAGGUCGGAUUAGCUAGUUGGUGGGGUAAAGGCCUACCAAGGCGGCGAUCCGUAACUGGUCUGAGAGGAUGAUCAGUCACACUGGAACUGAGACACGGUCCAGACUCCUACGGGAGGCAGCAGUGGGGAAUAUUGGACGAUGGGCGAAAGCCUGAUCCAGCAAUGCCGCGUGUGUGAAGAAGGUCUUCGGAUUGUAAAGCACUUUAAGUUGGGAGGAAGGGCAGUAAGUUAAUACCUUGCUGUUUUGACGGUACCGACAGAAUAAGCACCGGCUAACUUCGUG
rnacentral:rRNA from 1 species